rnacentral:lncRNA from 1 species
CUUUCCGAUCAUCUAUCCCUUUACGAAUUUUAUUUUUAUUCCGGAUUGUUAAUGCAAGACGACAGUUUGAAUCUCCAUUUACCUCUGCCUGAACACAAGAAGCCCUGAGUCUUUUGAAGCCGGGCACCAAAGUUAAAGAUUCACUUCCCGCAUUCCCCAUGGCCCCCUCUUGCAGCUUAGCUCGGCUCUGAGCCCCCGAAACGCCCUUCGAGGCGGGGGCUUUCCUGCCAAGGGGCGAUAGGUGGGCCAUCCCGAGGCGGGAACGAUCAGGAAAUUUUUCUACUAAGGACGGGGCUGAAUUGGAGGGACUGUGCUGACAAAUCCUCUACUUGAAAAUCCCCCAGCUAAGGAGUAUCUGCCCAAGGUCGCGGCCACCCAGAUGUUCGGUCCCCACUCCUUCCUCCGCUGAAAAGUCGCACCGAUGACUAACGUUGCCUGCCGGCCUGGUGGUUUGAAAACGAAUGCCGGGCAUUGAUGCAAGGAUAUCCUCCCCUACCCCUGGGAUUCUGGUCUAAGCAAAGGAGGCCGAAUGGAGAACUAAGACAAUUAUCUAAGUAAUCUAAAAAGCUCAAAGACAUCCCCAAGCGGACCUUGCUCCAGUGGUCUGUGAUGGCAGCCUAGUGGACAGUUUUCUAGUGGCCCUCUGGGGUUAAUUGCCUUAAUCUUCCACUCUGUCUGCCCCAGCAAAGGGAAAGAUGCUAAAGCAGCUGUGGACUUGCAGCCUCCCUCCUGUGUGUGCAGAGCCCCCAGGAAUCACUGCCCCAGUGCAGCAGGAGAAGCGCCUUCCCUCAUGCCCUAAGCCUGCCUUUUCUGUUGUCCCCCAGCUCCUGGGCCAGGUGGAGCCCCCCCUGAAGCUGGUUUCUACCUGCCCUCGCCUCCCCACUGCAGCCCACAGUUCGGCUUUCAGGGCUGAACCCAGAGCCCAGAGGAUGGAGAAGCCAGAAAGCGGGGAGGUAAGGGAGAGGGCGUCUAGGCACACCACAGAGGUGAUUGGGCUGUGACGGGGACAAUCCGCACAACACGAGCUAAGCUCACACCCCUAGGGAGUGAUUUUUCCGGACUGCCCCCAUCCCAAUCUCCACCUCCUCUGCUUUACUUGAAAAAGAAAAAGAAAAAAGAGAGCUCCUUCUGGCUCCUGGUGACCCAUAUUUAGGACACCAUCCCAUCCCCCAGCACACACAUUCCUACAGUGUCACCUGGUCCCCAAUCCGAGCAUUUCCUGGAGUGCUCGCCACAUUCCCCUUCCUGGUGCUUUUCUAUGGUGGGGCCAGGGGAGGCCUUGUUUUGAACAUCGCUGUGACGUCACUCCCCCUCCUCCGAGCUAAGCACCCCUCGGUGGGCCCUGGGAAUUGUUGCCCGGCCUGCUGGGGAGGGGCGGAGUGUGGGCCCAGGGAGGGUUCCACCAAACAUCCAUUACCGCUGUCGCCUGCGGGGCCUUCAGGCUGCAAGUACGUGAGGUGUCAGAAAAGAAGCCGAAGGGUUCCCGUGGGGGCUCUUCUGCCAAAUGAGUCAAGAGAUGUGCGGAAGCGGAUGAUUGAAGUACCCCGUGGAGUAGCAGAAAGGGGCAUCAAAAACUGUAACCUGAAAAUAAAAGCUUUAACCUGUUCCCCAAAA